UCUGUGAGAGCUGCUGUCAGCUUCCAGAUGGUGCCUUAUUGCUACAUCCUUUAAGGUGUUGAACCCUGUGUCUUCACAUGGCCAAAAGAAGAGAAGGGUAAAAAGAGCCUUGCUAGUUCCCUCUAGCCCUUUUAUAAGGUCAUAGGAAAUGAAACAGACUGCUGUUUUCAUGAGAAGCAUUUACAGAGGGAAAUAAGGACACUCACCAAAUAGGGCUAAUUUGAAGAAGGACACAGCUGACUUAGUAGGAAGAAGGCAGAAGAAUUAUCUCCUGGUAAUCAAGACUCUGAAAAUAAGACUUAAGAUAAAAGACUGGAUACAUGCAAGAACAGAGUUCUUAAAGAUCACCAGCUGAAGAUUGUGAUUUUUCAUUCUUCUAUGCCCUAAGACAGCCAUAUUUUACCAUUUGAAACAUAAAUAAAAAUGACUUCCAGGCUUA
ensembl:lncRNA novel transcript